rnacentral:rRNA from 1 species
AGUGAACGCUGGCGGUAGGCCUAACACAUGCAAGUCGAACGGCAGCACAGUAAGAGCUUGCUCUUACGGGUGGCGAGUGGCGGACGGGUGAGGAAUACAUCGGAAUCUACUUUUUCGUGGGGGAUAACGUAGGGAAACUUACGCUAAUACCGCAUACGACCUACGGGUGAAAGCAGGGGAUCUUCGGACCUUGCGCGAUUGAAUGAGCCGAUGUCGGAUUAGCUAGUUGGCGGGGUAAAGGCCCACCAUGGCGACGAUCCGUAGCUGGUCUGAGAGGAUGAUCGCCCACACUGAAACUGAGACACGGUCCAGACUCCUACGGGAGGCAGCGGUGGGGAAUAUUGGACAAUGGGCGCAAGCCUGCUCCAGCCAUACCGCGUGGGUGAAGAAGGCCUUCGGGUUGUAAAGCCCUUUUGUUGGGAAAGAAAAGCAGCAGGUUAAUACCCCGCUGUUCUGACGGUACCCAAAGAAUAAGCACCGGCUAACAUCGU